AGUGAACGCUGGCGGUAGGCCUAACACAUGCAAGUCGAACGGCAGCACAGUAAGAGCUUGCUCUUACGGGUGGCGAGUGGCGGACGGGUGAGGAAUACAUCGGAAUCUACUUUUUCGUGGGGGAUAACGUAGGGAAACUUACGCUAAUACCGCAUACGACCUACGGGUGAAAGCAGGGGAUCUUCGGACCUUGCGCGAUUGAAUGAGCCGAUGUCGGAUUAGCUAGUUGGCGGGGUAAAGGCCCACCAAGGCGACGAUCCGUAGCUGGUCUGAGAGGAUGAUCAGCCACACUGGAACUGAGGCACGGUCCAGACUCCUACGGGAGGCAGCAGUGGGGAAUAUUGGACAAUGGGCGCAAGCCUGAUCCGGCCAUACCGCGUGGGUGAAGAAGGCCUUCGGGUUGUAAAGCCCUUUUGUUGGGAAAGAAAAGCAGCAGGUUAAUACCCCGCUGUUCUGACGGUACCCAAAGAAUAAGCACCGGCUAACUUCGUG
rnacentral:rRNA from 1 species